AUUCGGCCUAUCUGGAUGUCGAGUACCAUUGUUAGAUGGUUACUCCGAUUAGUAUAGGAAUCAGUUUCUAUGCUACCGAUUUAGGUUCGAAUCUAUGGGGUCACACAUAUUAGAAGUUUUUCUCCAUAGCUAAUCUGAAGAGUCCUGCUGAAUGGAGACUCUGAUGAAGAGUCCCACUGGACUGAGACUCUACUGGAGAGUCCCACUGGACGA
rnacentral:lncRNA from 1 species